rnacentral:rRNA from 1 species
GAUCAUGGCUCAGGAUGAACGCUGGCGGCGCGCCUAACACAUGCAAGUCGAACGGCACCUAUCUUCGGAUAGAAGCGAGUGGCGAACGGCUGAGUAACACGUGGAGAACCUGCCCCCUCCCCCGGGAUAGCCGCCCGAAAGGACGGGUAAUACCGGAUACCCCCCGGGCGCCGCAUGGCGCCCGGGCUAAAGCCCCGACGGGAGGGGAUGGCUCCGCGGCCCAUCAGGUAGACGGCGGGGUGACGGCCCACCGUGCCGACAACGGGUAGCCGGG